UUUUAGCCCCGAUUGCAGCGGCAUCCUUUUUUGUUAUUGCGAUUGCGGAAAAUUUCAACAGAUUGCUUCACUUUGUUCGCAAUAACAAAAAAGAUAGAGCGGAAAGCGGGUACGAAU
rnacentral:sRNA from 2 species